CACUUUCAUCCUUCUACUUCUUCAAUUUUUGUUUCUGCUAAUGAUGGUUAUGAAGAUGUUCCGCCAGGCCCCAUGUAUACUCAGUCUCUAGCCAAGCCAUUGUCCUCUUGUGCCCCCUUUAUAGUUUCCCAGCCCCUUGUAACGAUCCAAAAUUACUAAUAAGUCUUAAGGGCCUUGAUUAGUGUGCCGGGAGAGCAUAACUAGUUUAUGUGUGAUUUAAAUGAUUAAAUGCAUGAUUAUGUGAUAAGCAUGCUUAUAUGAUUAUAUUGAUAUAUGAGAUGCAUGACUAUGAGUAUUAGUAUGCAUGUAGGCCCUGUUUAGAUUAUAAGGGCAUAUUCAUAAUUUUAGCCCGUUGAGGGCUUAAAUGUAAUUAUUUGCGAUAAUUGUUGAGACCACAUUAUUAUGUGGAUAUAUUUACAGCUUGUGGCUUGUGGCUCGAGGCAAUCCUAGUGAGCGGUUUAGCGAAAUAGUCACAACGAGGGUUUAUAUCAAUCUAGGGGGGAGCCUGGGGGUAUUUCUGGGAAUUUGGGAAAUAUAUUGGAGACUAUUUGACAUUGGGAAAAAUAAUUGGUGAUUAGUUAGGUGAUGGGAUUUAAGCGGUAAUUAUUAGGGAUACUUGAGGAAUUAGCGGGAAUUGGGAACAAAUGACCAAAAUUCCCUUAGAAUGUUUAAAGGCUUAGGUUUUAAAUGGGAGGGCAAAAUGGUCAUUUGAUGGUUAAAAGGGGAUAAGGGUCAUUUCUGUUUUUAGACUUAGUGGAAAUUGUAGAAUGUGUUAGAAGCUGAAGGAAAGAAGAAAAAACAGAACACUUGAGUUAGCUCUCUCUUUCUCCCUCACGGUUUGCCUAUCCCUCACCAUUUCUUGUGGAAUUCGAAGCUGUAAACUCAGAGGAGGCUUAGGCUAGAGCUGUGACCUUGGUUCUUGAGGUAAUCAAGAGGGUUAGCUGGAGUUAAUUCCCAAAAUAAGGUAAGGUUUAAAGUUGUUUUGAGAUUUAUGAGUUUUGGUGAGUUUGAAUUCUGAAUUUGGAUUUUUAAAUGGAAGUUAAGGUGUUUGAGCUUGAGGAAUUGAGGAGCUACAGGCUGGAAGGGCACUAAGGGAAACCUAGGGUCGGAUUCUCCAUUAAAGGUGUACACUAGGGCUCGGACGAGAUCAUGCUCGAGGAUCAUUUCUUUUAACCCGAGUGCUCGGAAUCAAAGGGCGCGACUCGGCCACUGGUAGCUGAGGUUAAGUACAUAAUCACUGAGCUCGACCUAAGCGAGCCGGGGUCAGUGGGAUAAUCAGAGGGUGUGGCCUAAGGGCGCCAAUCCUGGAUUUUGGUGUGAUAUGUUUAAUUUUGUUUAAACUGAUGAUUGUGAUGAGUUUGUUAUCUGAAUAACUGAUCAUUGGCUUGUAGAUUGAUAUCACUGUUUAUGUGAGCAAUAUGACCUGUUGUAUAUCUGAUUGAUGAUUUAUGAAAUAUCUUACUGUUGUUUAUUGUUUAUACUCUGUAUUAUGACUUUCUUAUUGGGCCUCGGCUCACAGGUGCUACGUGGUGUAGGUAAA